AACGAACGCUGGCGGCAUGCCUAACACAUGCAAGUCGAACGAGAUCUUCGGGUCUAGUGGCGCACGGGUGCGUAACGCGUGGGAAUCUGCCCUUUGGUUCGGAAUAACAGUUGGAAACGACUGCUAAUACCAGAUGAUGACGAAAGUCCAAAGAUUUAUCGCCAGAGGAUGAGCCCGCGUAGGAUUAGCUAGUUGGUGUGGUAAAGGCGCACCAAGGCGACGAUCAUUAGCUGGUCUGAGAGGAUGAUCAGCCACACUGGGACUGAGACACGGCCCAGACUCCUACGGGAGGCAGCAGUGGGGAAUAUUGGACAAUGGGCGAAAGCCUGAUCCAGCAAUGCCGCGUGAGUGAUGAAGGCCUUAGGGUUGUAAAGCUCUUUUACCCGGGAUGGUAAUGACAGUACCGGGAGAAUAAGCUCCGGCUAACUCCGUGCCAGCCGCCGCAGUAA
rnacentral:rRNA from 1 species